AUACGGAGGAUCCGAGCGUUAUCCGGAUUUAUUGGGUUUAAAGGGUGCGCAGGCGGCCAUUUAAGUCAGCGGUUAAAUCGUGGGGCUCAACCCCAUCCUGCCGUUGAUACUGGGUGGCUUGAUUGCGGUCGAGGUUGGCGGAAUUCGUUGUGUAGCGGUGAAAUGCAUAGAUAUGACGAAGAACACCGAUUGCGUAGGCAGCUGACCAGACCGCAAAUGACGCUCAUGCACGAAAGUGCGGGGAUCGAACAGGAUUAGAUACCCUGGUAGUCCGCACAGUAAACGAUGAAUACUUGUUUUCGGCGAUAUAAUGUCGGAGGCAAAGCGAAAGCGAUAAGUAUUCCACCUGGGGAGUACGCCGGCAACGGUGAAACUCAAAGGAAUUGACGGGG
rnacentral:rRNA from 1 species